rnacentral:sRNA from 1 species
AAGCCGAGGACGGCGACGGUGACCGACAC